AUUGAACGCUGGCGGCAGGCUUAACACAUGCAAGUCGAGCGGGGUGAUGGUGCUUGCACUAUCACUUAGCGGCGGACGGGUGAGUAAUGCUUAGGAAUCUGCCUAUUAGUGGGGGACAACAUCUCGAAAGGGAUGCUAAUACCGCAUACGUCCUACGGGAGAAAGCAGGGGAUCACUUGUGACCUUGCGCUAAUAGAUGAGCCUAAGUCGGAUUAGCUAGUUGGUGGGGUAAAGGCCUACCAAGGCGCCGAUCUGUAGCGGGUCUGAGAGGAUGAUCCGCCACACUGGGACUGAGACACGGCCCAGACUCCUACGGGAGGCAGCAGUGGGGAAUAUUGGACAAUGGGGGGAACCCUGAUCCAGCCAUGCCGCGUGUGUGAAGAAGGCCUUAUGGUUGUGAAGCACUUUAAGCGAGGAGGAGGCUCUUUUGGUUAAUACCCAAGAUGAGUGGACGUUACUCGCAGAAUAAGCACCGGCUAACUCUGUGCCAGCCGCCGCGGUAA
rnacentral:rRNA from 1 species